UCUCAAUAAAAGAGAGAGAGAGAGAGAGAGAGAAAGACAGGAAACAAAUUUUCUUAAAUAAUUUCCCAGAUAUCAAGUAUUUAUCAGUAGCUCUCUCUCUCUCUCUCUUUCUCUCCAUAG